UCCUGCCCUGUUUGAUCCUCGGUCUCUAUGCCAAGGAGUCAGCUCUGCUUUGGUCACCGUGUGUGAAGGGACCGCGGGAAGGAAGAGGCCCUGUCCCCCCAAACACAGAGAUGCAGAAAUCGAGAGUACAAGAGACCACAGAACUGAAGCUUCCUUUAAGAGGACUGGUCCAAAACUGGGUUGUGGCCUUGGCAAAGCAGAUCACCACCCAAGUGAGCUAUUCCUCAGUUCACUCAUCUUCCCAUUUGCUUAAUCUUGUUCUGGAUCCACUUGCCCUUGGAACAGAACCUCCAAAUACAUCUUUGAUGUUCUG